UGGGGAAUAUUGCGCAAUGGGCGAAAGCCUGACGCAGCGACGCCGCGUGAGGGAUGAAGGUCUUCGGAUCGUAAACCUCUGUCAGCAGGGAAAGAACGGUCACUGUGCUAAUCAGCAGUGAAUUGACGGUACCUGCAAAGGAAGCACCGGCUAACUCCGUGCC
rnacentral:rRNA from 1 species